rnacentral:sRNA from 1 species
UGUAGGAUGGGGUAGAAGGGAGAGUGCUCACUUUAAUUCAGAACACACUGGGUGGCUGUUGUGGGGUGCUCUCCUCCCGGCAUGAAAGCCACCAUCUACACCAGGGCAGCAGUGAUCACUUGUAAGCAGCCCUUGGAUUUAGGCCUGCUGUCUGUCAACAGCCCCUCAUAGAAAGAGGGACAUCUUUGAUCCCUACCUGAGAUUACAGUUACUCCUCCCCAAACCUCCCAGACAAACCACAAGUAAUGGUGCCUUAAUUGCAUAUGGCCUUGUGGCCUCAGAGGCAUAGCAAAGUGUGGAAGGCUAAUGAAGAGGGCACUUAGCUAUACAGCCUCAGGGAAGUUGUUGUGCAGGCUGGGGUGAGGUUUGGGGUUUGUUUUGUUUUGAUUUUGUUUUUUGGGUUGUUUUGUUUGUUUGGUGCAGCUGCUCUGGGCUCACCCAGGCUCCUGUAAGUAACCUCUCACUCAUGCUCAGGAAGUACACCGAAUAUAUCCACUGGUUCUCCUGGCUGAACCUUGGCGGGAAUCAGCUUUGUUCUGUGGUUGGUGACCUAUUUUGGAGCAGGUGCUUAUGUCUGCUGCCCCUCCCCCACCCAGAAAAGCUCACAGUUUUUGAGCUCUGCAAAAACAAAGCUUGGCAAUUGCCUCAUGCUAAGCCGACUCUUCUCUAAACCAUCGGCAUCCUCACUCGAGGUAGCUAAAUUUCUGGGAACAGCACGUACCCUGCAGUGUUCCCGGUUCCCCUGGACCAUGGGCACACCCCUCCUUCCGAGCCUUUGUGCCUUUGUAAUGCUCCAGAGAAGCUCAGGAAAACAGUGGGCAACGUUCUUGGAAGGGCGCCCUUCUAUGUGUCCUGAGGGCUUCGGAAGGGAGCACUGUAAGGAGGAGGCAGCUGGACACAGGAGGCUCUCGAGGAGGCUGAGGAGGCUUCCAUCCACCACCCACGAGUGAGAAGGGGGGCAUAUGUUUGGAGCAAGCAGUAACAUGCAUCCCAGGUGGAAAGAGAGGCUCUGUAAGGCCAUGCACCGUGGUUCAGCCCUUAGUGACUCCAGCACCCUGCCUGUAUCUUCCCUGUGCCGCCUACAUCCUGGCCACAAUCCCUGGUGACAGAAGAGGAAGGAAAUGAAGCCAGCACAAACAGCUGAGUUGGCUGUGACUAUCACUGCUGCCAGGCUGAGGACCAUGCUGAAGCCCCUGGAGAGUACCCUGGCAGCUAGAACUUAGCAGGACCAGAAGAUUCAGCAGCCAUGUGUAUGGCAGUGGAGGCCAGGCCCCCUAGGGAACCUUUGGAGUUGGGCACCGCUGGAAUGUCCGCCUUCUGCGGAGAAAUCUGAAUUCUGGGAAAAGGAGAUGAGCUCAUUCUGAUAAGCGGCACUUAUCGUUGCAGUUUCCCCUUCUGGCCACUAGAUGGCCGCCCCGACCAGGAACCAGCACUUCAGAGAACAGAGCUGUUCCUGUCCAAGAAUCCAGUCCAUGAGGCCGAUGUCUCAGCUGAUCUUCUGUAGACGUCAGAAUCCGGAAGAAGUAGGCUCUAACGCCAGUGAAGGAAUGGUCUUGUUAAUGAGAUCAAGAGCAAGCAGGCAGAGAGAGCAAGCGUCCUUCUUCCAUGUCUUUUAUAUUGGCUGCCAACGGAAGGUGUGUCCAGGCUAGUUAAUUCCAGAUGUGGCCAAAUGAACACCCAAGACGAGCCACCACACGCCAUUGGCCAGCACCUACCCUCAGAGCCGUUCACAGCCGAUCCACUGGUUCCUAUUCAGCCUAGGGCCUGAGCCCAGGGGAUUGUGUGCCUACAUUCAGGGUGGGUCUUCCCUCCCCAUUAACCUUUCCGAAAUCACGGUCACAAACAGGCCUAGAGCUGUGUCUCUGAGGCGAUUCUAAAUCCAGUCACCUUGACAAUGAAGAGUAACCAGGGCUUCGACUGUGGUCCUCCUGCCUCUGCUUCCCGACUACUGUGCUUACAGCAGUCACCAUAUCACCACCAUGCCUGGAUUCGGCGUAACUCUCCAUAUUCUGGGAACUUUCCCUGUGUAGCAGACCUACCUGGACUCACGUGAACACAGCAUGGUCCUACCCGAAGCUCAAGCUGAAGGCCUUUCUACAAAUGUGGCCCCUGCAUCUGUGAGUUCAAGCAUGGACAUCCACAGCUUGCAGAAAUUAUGUGGUUGGGUCUGUACUGAAUAUUUAAGACAUAUUUGCCUUCUUACUGUUUCCCAAACGUCACAGAAUAGUAGGUAUUUACACUGUUCCGUGCAGUACAUGUAAUCAAGCGAUGGUUCCCAACAGGUGAGAGAGCAGGGUGUGGGUGUGCAAGUCUGUAUCAGCACUGGGCAGGUGAGGCAGGGGGAUAGGUAUUGUGAGACAGUUUAGGCCACAUAGUAAGACUCUGUUCCAACAGAACAACAGCAGCAGCAACGACAAAACCAAGCAACGCAAACAACAAAGAGAGGCAAGAUUUUUAGUGUUGGCCUCAGUUCUGGGAGCAAUCCUGGGGGAUGGCUGCAUUUUGUUGUGGUGUUUGUUUGUUUGUUGUUGUUGCUGUAUCUCAAGACAGGGUUUCUCUGUGUAGCCCUGGCUGUCCUGGAACUUGCUUUGUAGACCAGGCUAGUCUGGAGUUCACAGAGUUCCUCUGGAGCUCACACAGAUCUUCUGUCUCUGCCUCUUGAGGGACUUAGGUGGGCUCCGUCUCAAUGAGGACACUUAUCAUCUCUCAUACUGAGCUUUUCCUCUGAGCUUCAUUUAAGUUCAUUUGCGUGUGUACCCUGUAUGUUCACACCAUGGCGUGUAUGAACAAAAAGAUCAGAGGACAACUUGCCAGAGUCAUUUCUCUCUGUCAUGCUGGUCCCAAGAAUUGAAUUCAGGUGGUGGCAGAUGAGACAUCUCACUGGUUCAGUCUUUCUUUUGUUUUCAUAUUUUUAAUUUAAAAGAUCUUAUCCUUUUAAAAAGUUAAGAUCAGGUUUAGUUCCCUGAAUAUCUUCUUAAAGAAUGUCUAUUCUAUCUCCUUUUUGAAAUAGGGUUUCACGUAGCUCAGGCUAGCACUGAGUUUCUUAUGGAGCCCAUGAUGGCUUUGAACUUCUGAUUCUUCUGCCUCACAAGUGCUGGGAUUUAUCAGGUACCACCAUGUCCAGAUGAAUUUCCAAUGUAACUAAGUAUCCUGAAUUUUGUCUAGUAAUCUCAUAAGUGAGAUUAGCAGCUGCCUGCUAGAGGCAGAGAAAAAAGGGAAACAUAAAAAGACAGAGAGAAGAGAGAGAGAAAAGGGAAGAGGCCAGCUGGGAACACGA